rnacentral:tRNA from 1 species
AGGGAUUUAGUUUAUAUUAAAAUGUUUGUUUUGCAUACAAAAGAAUUUUUUCUCUG